UCAUCAUCAGGGUGUAGCUAGAUGGCAUAAUGGAUAGAGCACCAGCCCUGAAGUCAGGAGGACCUGAAUUCAAAUCUGGUCUCAGACACUUAACACUUCCUAGCUGUAUGACCUGGGCAAGUCACUUAACUCCAAUUGCCUCAGCAAAAAAAGAAAUCAUCAUCAUUUUGAUUCUUCAUCUUGACAAAAUAUUUCAACAGACCAAGUUGAAAGCUCAGUGGUGAGGACUCUUUCCUGCAAAAUGUCACCAAUGAUGAACUAUUCAACAGCCCUGGAGAUAAUGGGUCACAAAGGUUGGAGAAAAAGGAAUCAAGGAAAGAAUUUCAUCAAGACUACCCAGCAAGAUCUUUGAAAAAAAAAUUGGAAAGCAGCCUGGGAAAGGGUUUUAGCCAUGACUGGCAUGAAGAAGGAAUUGCCCUGGAGCCUACACAUUGGAUAAGGCCUGGGAUUUCACCUGAAAUGAGGGCGAAUGUGAAUGGAAGGACAGAAGAAGAAAUCCCAACAGCUUUCUCAAGUCUUCCAAGUGGGCCUUCACAUAUGGCUUCAUUAUUUCAUUUAAAAAAGCAUGUGAAUUCACAGCUGCCAGAGAAAUCCAUACAGAAAUGUUGACUACUCUGAAAACAAGGUAAAGCAGUAAAGCUGUAUGGCUGUGUCCUGGGCUGACCUGAGCGGCAUGCCUAUUUCUUCUCUCUGCACCCUGAAGGAAGCUUCUCAAGAGUGAUUCAAUGAAAUCUCUGUGGCUUGGUGGAAGAUAGCAUCUUGGAUGAGUUGCUUAGACAAUAUAAGAUGAGGAAGCUCAUGCCCAGAGAGGAUGAUUUGCCCAAAGUCAUGUUUCUAGGAAAUGGAUGAGCUUGGAUUGGGAAUCAGGGAAUUGUGCUGGAGGCAAAAACAUGGUCCCUGCCCUCAAAGAAUUUACAUUCUAAAGAGGAGUCAAAAUGCAAACAAUCAUAUUUAUACAAGAUAGGUGCAAGUUUCAUUGGGAGUCUACUUCUUUUUUGUAUUACAAUCAUUGCCUCCUGCUCUCCCUCCAACAUUUCUGCUGCUCUACUAAGAAUGCACUUUUGUGGCAAAUCAGUAUGGUUAAGUAAAACAAAAUUGGUGGUAUGUUGUUCAUACCUGAAAAUGCAUGUCUCAUUUUAUUCUCACAAUCCAUCAUCUCCCAUGACUUAAGUUACACUCUUCCCCAUUAGUCUUCUGUAGUUGUGUUUGGCCAGUUAUUGUAUUUGUUCUGCGUUCUUAAGUCAUUUAAACUUGUUUACUUUUAUACUGGUGUAAUUAUUGCAUAGCUUCCUGAUUCUGCUUAUUUCAUUCUUUAUCAAUUCAAAUAAGUCUUCUAAGUUCUCUGAAUCUGAUUAUUUAAUAAUUUCUUGAUAUAAAUCCAAUAUAAUUAUUCUAUCAUUUAAAAAAUGACCUUUUAAAACAUUUUAUUUAAUAUUUUGCAUCGCUAUUCACUAUGGAAAUGAUUAUGCUUAGGUCUGAAAAGGAAGCACAUUGAAGUGAGCAAUUAUUUUGUUUUUUGCUGACUCGUUUUGCAGUGUGAUUAACUUUUCAUCAAAGAACUUAGAUGCUGUGCCAUUUGGUCCAUAUACAUUAAAUAUUGAUACUAUUUUAUUAUCUAUGGUUCCUUUAAGGAUAACAUAGUUUUCUGAGGAGAGAGUGAGGCUAAUGACUUUGUAUAGCUCUACUUCACUUAAAUCCAAUUUGUGUGAAAGUCGAAAUAUCUUUUGUGAUGUCUUUGUUCCACUUUGAGAACAAAGUACAAAUAACAAAUGUUUUUCCUGCUUUUCCUUUUUAACGAAGACUUUUUUUUUUAUUAUUGUCUUGUCUUAGAUCAUGAUAAUUCCCCCGUCUUUUUUGAAUUUGCCCAGAGAAUAAUAAAUUAUGCCCCAGCCUUUCAUUUAACUCUUUGUGAAUAUGUAGCAAAUGCAUUUCUCACAAACAACAAAUUAUUGGAGUCUUCUUUCUAAUUUAUUGUUCUACAUUUCUCUGUUUUAUGGUUUAUCCCAUUUGUAUUCAUUUUUAUAGUUUUUAAUUGUGUAUUUUCCUCCAUUAUGAUUUCUCAUACUCUUCCCUCUUUAUUAUUUACCAUUUCUUACCCCAAAAGAGAAGGAUGGAGAAAGAGAAGGCAAUAGAACAACAUGAGUAAUAUAUAAUUGAAAUUGCCUUCUCCUACUCCGUUGCAUUUUUUCUCUCUCUCCCACUCCCAAAUCCAAGCUCAGUUUCUACUUCCUGUGCUCUUUCUUUAUAAUCCUUCUUUAUGAUCAACUAUCCAAGGCUGAAAUUUGUUUUACUUGUUAUUAUUCCUUUUCCAAUUUCAUUUUCUGUUUUAUUCUUCUCUCUCUUAAUUUCCACAAGCAUUUUUUCCUUUACUAAAGCCAACAAAACUAAACAUAACCACAACCUAAUCCUUUAUUUGUGUCAUUUACCUAUAUCUAUGACCUUUGACAUCUAGAUUCUGAGGGGAGCACUUUUCUCUAUUAGAGUGUAAGCACUUCAUCAUUUGACUACUUCCAAUUUGUCAAAUACAGUUACCUUUUAAAAUUCUCUUGCCUCCUAUGUUUGCAUUUAAAAGUUUUCUCUCAGCUCUGAUUUUUUUUUUUUUAAUCGGGGAUGCUUUAAAGUCCUCUAUUAUAAGUCUUUUUCUCCCGUAGGAAAUAGUAAUUCCCAAGUACAGUAAUUUCUACAUAGAUGAAUCUCAAUUAUCUACAGCAUGCCAUUAUAUAAAACACUAGGUAAUUUCAACAUUCAUUUACAGUGGGCUUCAGAAUGAUAUUAUCCCUCUAAAUCCUUAAUAAAUUAACUUUAUAAUUAUGGUUUUCUUAGGGUAAUAUUGAAAUUAGUAUGUAUUUUCUGAGUGCCCACUAGUUGAUGGAGGGGCAAGUGACCCCAAAAUAUGUUCAUUGAGAAAAAAAAGCCAGCUCCUGGAUAUUUCCCACAAGGAUAAUAAUAAUAAUAAUAAUAAUAAUAUAACACCUGACUAUUAUCCAUCAUUUUUAGCCUAUUAAAGACACUGUAUUCUUUACAUUUUAUAUAAUUUGGGAGUUCAUUGGUACCUCCAAAAUUCUUUUGUUCAUAGAAUUUGGCUAUUCUAUACUAAAAUAGUCAUUAGAUUAUCAAUUCAUACCAUCUCAGGUUUUGAAUUUGUGUUUACCUUGGUUCUUAUUUUUAGUUUGUCCUCUCUUUUCUAUCUUAAAAGAUCUAUAUGUCUAUUCUAUAUCACAGUUAGGUCAAUGUUCAAUGUUCUUUCCAUUACAUCACACACUCUCUCAGGCUUUCUUCAAGGCACAUCUCAGGUAUUUCCUGAACCCCUAGUUAGUAACAUUCUUUCCUCCUUGAAAUUAUUCUGUUUUCUUUUAUAUAUUCUUUAUAUUUGUUUAUUUAAUUUUGUAACUGUAUCCCUCCAGAAGAACUUAAGAUCUUUAACUAUAAGUGGGAUCGUUUUAUUUUUACUUUUGUAUCCUUAUUGUCUGACAUGAUAUUUUGUAUAUAGUAGGUUAAUAAAUGUUUGUUGAAAUGGA